AUUGAACGCUGGCGGCAGGCCUAACACAUGCAAGUCGAGCGGAGCGGCGGAAGGGUGAGUAAUGCCUAGGACUCUGCCUGGUAGUGGGGGAUAACGUCUGGAAACGGGCGCUAAUACCGCAUCCUAUCAGAUGAGCCUAGGUCGGAUUAGCUAGUUGGUGGGGGAAAGCACUACCAAGGCGACGAUCCGUAACUGGUCUGAGAGGGUGAUCAGUCACACUGGAACUGAGACACGGUCCAGACUCCUACGGGAGGCAGCAGUGGGGAAUCUUAGACAAUGAGCGAAAGCCUGAUCCAGCCAUGCCGCGUGAGUGAAGAAGGUCUUCGGAUUGUAAAGCUCUUUAGGUAGGGAAGCGUUACCAACAGAGUAAGCACCGGCUAACUUCGUGCCAGCAGCCGCGGUAAUAC
rnacentral:rRNA from 1 species